rnacentral:rRNA from 1 species
AUUGAACGCUGGCGGCAUGCCUUACACAUGCAAGUCGAACGGCAGCACGGGUGUUUGCACCUGGUGGCGAGUGGCGAACGGGUGAGUAAUACAUCGGAACGUACCUUAUCGUGGGGGAUAACGCAGCGAAAGCUGUGCUAAUACCGCAUACGCCCUGAGGGGGAAAGCGGGGUAUCGAAAGACCUCGCGCGAUUAGAGCGGCCGAUGCCUGAUUAGGUUGUUGGUGGGGUAAAAGCCCACCAAGGCGACGAUCAGUAGCUGGUCUGAGAGGACGAUCAGCCACACUGGUACUGAGACACGGCCCAGACUCCUACGGGAGGCAGCAGUGGGGAAUUUUGGACAAUGGGGGCAACCCUGAUCCAGCAAUGCCGCGUGAGUGAAGAGGGCCUUCGGGUUGUAAAGCUCUUUUGUCAGGGAAGAAACACCGGCUCUAACACAGUCCGGGAAUGACGGUACCUGAAGAAUAGGCACCGGCUAACUACGUGCCAGCCGCCGCGGUAA